rnacentral:rRNA from 1 species
GAUGAACGCUAGCGGCAGGCCUAAUACAUGCAAGUCGAACGGUGUCUUCGGACAUAGUGGCGCACGGGUGCGUAACACGUAUGCAACCUACCUUACAUUGGGGGAUAGCCUUUCGAAAGGGAGAUUAAUACCGCAUAAGACAGUAGCUGGGCAUCCAACAGCUGUUAAAGAUUUAUCGAUGUAAGCUGGGCAUGCGUCCAAUUAGCUAGUUGGUGAGAUAACGGCUCACCAAGGCAAUGAUUGGUAGGGGAACUGAGAGGUCAAUCCCCCACACUGGCACUGAGAUACGGGCCAGACUCCUACGGGAGGCAGCAGUAGGGAAUAUUGGGCAAUGGACGCAAGUCUGACCCAGCCAUGCCGCGUGCAGGAUGAAGGCGUUAUGCGUUGUAAACUGCUUUUAUACGGGAAGAAACGACUCUUGCGAGAGGCAUUGACGGUACUGUAUGAAUAAGCACCGGCUAACUCCGUGCCAGCAGCCGCCGUAAUAC